rnacentral:rRNA from 1 species
AACGGUCCUAAGGUAGCGACAUUCCUUGUCGGGUAAGUUCCGACCCGAACGAAAGGCGUAACGAUUUGGGCACUGUCUCAACAACAUACUCGGUGAAAUUGUAAUUCCGGUGAAGAUGCCGGAUACCUGCGACAGGACGGAAAGACCCCAUGGAGCUUCACUGUAGCUUGACAUUGGGUCUUGGUACUACAUGUACAGGAUAGGUGGGAGGCUUUGAACCCAGGACGACAGUUUUGGCGGAGCCAUCCUUGGGAUACCACCCUUGUAGUACUGGGACUCUAACCAUAGGCCAUGAAUCUGGUCUUGGGACACUGUCAGGUGGGCAGUUUGACUGGGGCGGUCGCCUCCCAAAAGG